AUGCAAAAUGGGAACAUUGGUCUUACCAUUUGGGGUUGCCAUAGAAUUUCUCUCUUCGUUUUUUUUGUUGAUAAAGGGAUUUUCUUUCUCCCCAGUUACAUUAGCGAAACCAUAGCAAUCCUUACAUGGGAGACAGAAAACAGCAUGCCCGCGUGUGAUUCUUCUGCCUAUAGUAUGAUUACUUGUCACCAGAUCACAUAUCUUGCACUUUUUUUAACUCAAACUACACGCAUAUAUAUAAUUUGGAAAAUUCCAAAGAAACAAAACUUUCAAAAACAUCAACUCUAUUGCAUGAAAUCAUCAACAUCUCGGCAUAUUUACAAGAUACUCCUGAGCUUUGACUACGACAACGCGCCAUUAUUUUGCUGA
rnacentral:rRNA from 1 species